CCUUGUACACACCGCCCGUCACACCAUGGGAGUGGGUUUUACCAGAAGGCAGUGGGCUAACCGCAAGGGGCCGCUGACCACGGUAGGAUUCAUGACUGGGGUG
rnacentral:rRNA from 1 species